rnacentral:rRNA from 1 species
AUUUGAGAGGAGCUGUCCUUAGUACGAGAGGACCGGGAUGGACUGGCCGCUGGUGUAUCUGUUGUCUUACCAAAGGCAUAGCAGAGUAGCCAAGCCGGGAAGGGAUAAACGCUGAAGGCAUCUAAGCGUGAAGCCCCCCUCAAGAUGAGAUAUCUCAUAACGUCAAGUUAGUAAGACCCCUUGAAGACGACGAGGUAGAUAGGGCAGAGGUGGAAGUGUGGUAACACAUGGAGCUGACUGUUACUAAUAGGUCGAGGGCAUAACCAAA